UACGGAAGGUGCGAGCGUUAAUCGGAAUUACUGGGCGUAAAGCGCACGUAGGUGGUUUUAUAAGUCGGAUGUGAAAGCCCCGGGCUUAACCUGGGAAUUGCAUCUGAUACUGUCCGACUAGAGUAUGCUAGAGGGAAGUGGAAUUCCAGGUGUAGCGGUGAAAUGCGUAGAUAUCUGGAGGAACACCAAUGGCGAAGGCAACUUCCUGGGGCAAUACUGACACUGAUGUGCGAAAGCGUGGGGAGCAAACAGG
rnacentral:rRNA from 1 species